rnacentral:rRNA from 1 species
GAUGAACGCUAGCGGCAGGCUUAAUACAUGCAAGUUGAGGGGCAGCAUGAUAUACGCGAGUAUAUUGAUGGCGACCGGCGGACGGGUGAGUAAUAGGUAGGAGACCUACCUCAUACAGGGGGAUAGCAUAGAGAAAUCUGUGGUAAUACCCCAUGAGGUUAUAUGAAUAGAGGCAUAUAAUCAAAGCAUAAGCGAUUAUGCGGUAUGAGAGGGGCCUACUGACCAUUAGCUAGUUGGUGAGGUAAGGGCUCACCAAGGCGAAGAUGGUUAGGGGUUUUGAGAGAGAGACCCCCCACAUUGGAACUGAGAGACGGUCCAGACUCCUACGGGAGGCAGCAGUAGGGAAUAUUGGGCAAUGGGCGAAAGCCUGACCCAGCCAUGCCGCGUGAAGGAAGACGGCCUUAUGGGUUGUAAACUUCUUUACUACGCGAAUAGAGGUUAGUACGAGAUACUAAAUAGGAAGGUAGUGUAAGUAAAAGCACCGGCUAACUCCGUG